CAACCAUUAGGCGCGAGACUCCUUUGUUUGCAUGGAGGAAGAACGCAGUUUUAAAGAUCCCGUCUACCUGCUGUGUUAUAAACUGAAAUAGUCGUUCUCACGAAAGAAGUGGCAAGCUUACGAACGGAAUAUCAUUUUAUCGUUUUCCAGCGUGGAAAAAUAAUAGUACAAGCCUUGUUUCAGAGGUGACAAAAAGGCGACGAAUGGCUUGGAUAGCAGCGGUAAGGAGGCCAAGAUUACCUUCGAUAACACUCCACCACACAUGAUGGUGUGUUCAAAAGCAUUUUCACCAAGGAAAUUGCUGGCUUUAUAGGAGAAGAUGCCAGACUUUUGUGCAGCCUACGUAAUCGGAUGCUCCAAUCGCCAUGGUCUCAAAACGAGAGCCCGUGGGAUCACCUUUCACCUGUUUCCCAAAACCGGAAAGAUGAGGAGGCAGUGGGAACUUGCCCUAAGAGGAGACGGUUUUGUUGCCUCUGACAGGACACUGCUCUGCAGUGAGCACUUCAGGAGUGAGGACUUUGAGAGAACAGGGCAGAAUGUCUGGCUUAAAGAUGGUGUUGUGCCAAACAUUUUCAACUUUCCAGCUCAUCUUCAAAGGUUGGCAGCAAGAAGCACAAGCACCUCUAGAAGAGCGGAAGACAUCCUGCCAAUGGACUUGUCUCAGGAUGUACCUCAACAUGAUGUUGGAGUCACUGGAGCGAGGAGUUCGAGCCGCAAGCGUCAGGCCACUGACCACUUGUAUGCAUUCCCUACCAGCUGUCAUUGACACCUUAACAAGCCUGUCAGCUGUAGAUAUGUCCUCUGCAGCAGGAGGAGAAGAUCUUCCAUCCCCAUUUGCUGACAUUCCUGCCCUAGUACAUAACCACAGCUACCUUCCCAUCCGCUUUGGUCUUGUGGACAACGCUCCGUGUACAUUUCAGGAUUUGUUGUGCGACGGGCUCUGAAGAAGCUGUCGUGUGAUGUCUGCCAUGCCAGCCAAGGGACAGACGCUGCAUCUGCCAUCAAGGACCAGAGCUACCACCUGCUGACCUUAAAAAACAAUGGAGGUCUGGUGAUUCCAUCAGAAGGCACAGUGAGGGUCGUCAGGGCAGCAGAGAGGGUCAUUCGUCAGGCAUCAGCCAGUACCAGACGAUCACAGCCCAGCAAACUGCUAGAGGUCGUGUACACUGUACGGAAGAGGAUAGGGUCAGAGGAUGUGUUUGUGCUCGGGGAGCACAUUGGCGAAAUGCAGUAUGGCAUAGACAGCCACCACCAUACGCUGUUAACAUUAGUUGUGUCCCUGUUUUUUUAAGCUAAGGCUGCACCACAUCGCUAAAAUGACUAACCUUACCUUACAGAGCAACAACAUGCAACGGAAGCUCAAUAAAACUGUCCUUUUCAAAGGGCAUUAGCCCAAGCUCUGUUAUUUUGGGUCUUUUUUUUUUUGUCCUCCACAGUAGUGUAGUUCUCUCUACAGGGUGGGGAUUUCAACAUGCAGCAUUUUUUUAUGUAUAUUUGUAAAGGGGAAUCUUCUAUUUUUUUUUAUUGCAAAUGUCACUUUUAUAAUAGUUAAAAAAAUAAAUAGACUUUUUCUAUUUUUCUAAUCUUUUGGGCUCAGUUGUGUUUCUAAAGUCAUAUCAAGAGACCUAGAAGCUGAAAUGUGGUCAGUUGAAUUGCUUGUUAUCCAGCAGAAAGAAAAAACAAUAUUCUAGCCUCUAUAACUCUGUGCCAGUACUUCACAUAAUUAUUCUGAUUGUUUCCUAAGAAACUACAGGGUCUCAGCUUUCUAAAGAGGUCAGGCAUUUGAUGGUAGGCAAAAAUAGCUGGGAACAGUGAUCUCUGAAGUAGGCACAGUGCAAUGUCGAGGGGAAAAGCCUAGUAAAUGGCCCAACCCUGAAGAAGUUAAAAUA